AAACUAACAAGGAUUCCCCUAGUAACGGCGAGUGAACCGGGAAGAGCUCAAAUUUGAAAUCUGGCGUCCUUCGGGCGUCCGAGUUGUAAUCUAUAGAAACGUUUUCCGUGCCGGACCGUGUCCAAGUCCCUUGGAACAGGGUAUCAGAGAGGGUGACAAUCCCGUACUUGACACGACGACCGGUGCUCUGUGAUACGUUCUCUACGAGUCGAGUUGUUUGGGAAUGCAGCUCAAAAUGGGUGGUAAACUCCAUCUAAAGCUAAAUAUUGGUGGGAGACCGAUAGCGAACAAGUACCGUGAGGGAAAGAUGAAAAGCACUUUGGAAAGAGAGUUAAACAGUAUGUGAAAUUGUUGAAAGGGAAACGAUUGAAGUCAGUCGUGACCGUUGGGUUCAGCCGGUUCUGCCGGUCUACUCCCUUCGGUCGGGUCAACAUCGGUUUUGACCGGCGGAUAAGGAAGGGAGGAAUGUGGCACCCUCCGGGGUGUGUUAUAGCCUCUCGUCGCAUACGUCGGUCGAGACCGAGGAACGCAGCUCGCCUUUAUGGCCGGGGUUCGCCCACGUCCGAGCUUAGGAUGUUGAC
rnacentral:rRNA from 1 species